GAUUUGUGCACCUACAACAUCCCAACACCUGCUGAUGUCCCCACUCUCAGUGUGAAAGUCCACACAGAGGUGGAGCCCACAGUUAUCAAAGGACACACCAUCAACCACAGAGAUCAUCCAGGAGCUCCCAGUGGACGACCUGAAGCCAGCCGUGGUCCAGAUCUAUGACGACUACCAACCAGGUCCAAGUCUGACUAAGCUUUACUCCAACAGCUCACUGACACACUUCAGAGGAUCCAUCAGACUGAACAGUUCAUACAAGCUGAUGUUUCCAUCAGUGGGACUCAGAGAAAUGACACUUUCAUAAAUCUGGUUUUAGUCACUUUGAGUGUAAAAAGGAAACAAACUGCAUCAUUUGUGCUUCUUGCACCAGGAUCCUCCUUGUCUCUCCCACAGCAGGAAGUUCAGCUCUGCUCUCAUGAAGCAGCAGGAAGAUGUGAGGCUCAGAGUGAGGACUGAGUACAGACUGAUGGCACACACUCAGCCUUUUGCCACUGCAUGCACAGCUACCCUGCAGGAUCCACCUGAGUGUCCCAGUCCUGGACCCUGUUUGUAACCAGGAUAUUUUUGAAAUUGAAAAUAUAUUUCUUUCAAACCAAAAUACAUUUCAAAAUAUAUUUGCGUUCAAGAAAAUACAUUUCCAACCUUACAGUAGAAUGUAUAUCAAAGUAUCCCUUAUUUAAAAUGUAUUUAGUGCAACAAUAAUAAUAAUAAUAAAAGUAACAACAUCUGCAUCUAAUCACAUCUGCAAAAAUAGUUGGAUUCAAACAAAACAGAAUUAAAGGUCUAGCAAGAAUUAGGUUAUUUAUUCAUUUGCUUACAGUAUUUCACACAAUAUUAGCAUUCACUUGACUUUGAAAUUAUUUAUCAGUGAUACAGUACAUAAAAUACAACAACUGCUAUGUACACUUAAGUUCAAACUUUUCAACGCAGUCUGCACCGUAAGCGUGCCACUCUUCUCCUUCUAACGAUUUUGUGCACACUAGGUAAGGGACGUGCGUCCCCUCCCGGUCUGGGAAGGUUUCAAAGUCAUAAAAGAUUAUGGAAGCGGUAUCGGGGCUUUCGUGUUUCAGAGGUUGAAUGUAACACAGGUGCUGAUUUUUGUCAGGAGGAAGCUCCGCGCGGCAGAUUUUACAUCUGGCGGCUCCGCACCUGUGCUUUUCACGACGGGAGAGGAGUUUUUAGUCCGGGCAUUUAUACAGUCUUUGACAAACACUGAGAUCGGAACUAGAGUGAAGUCUGGGUUGUUUGUGCUUCAAGUAACACUCGCGAGUGCGACACGACCUGUUACAAUCCGGACAGAUUACAGCAUCCAGAAAGUGAGCGGGGCAUGCGGGGUCAAAACAGAGAUUGCAGCGAUUUUGGCAAACGUGUUCCUCGCGUUUAUAGUAUCCGCGGUGACAUUCCUCGCAAAUGUACGGGACUCCUAAAAAUGUUUUUAGAUUUUUUAUCCCGUAAUAGUGAUGCUGGAAUAAGAAUAAGUACAGCGGGUGAGGCGUGUUUGGGGACUCUGUUUCGAUUAGCGAAAGAGUCCUGUCCUCGGGCGGGCGGUAAAACACAACGAUUUUACGAUUUAGUAUUUGCUCAAAUUUAUCUAUGUCGGUGAGGGCUACCUAGGUCUGAUCACUCAACCCCGCUAAACGCUGCAGCUCUCUGCCACGUUCCAGGGCCUGUUUAUCUGUGAAAUGAGGCUCGGUGAGGUGAGCCAAGUUAAUGGCGAAGCACAGAUUGUCGUUUUUGUUUUUUACCACGUACAGACAGCGCCGCUUUUUGACUAUAAUUUCAUCAUCUAACGUUUUGUGAAUCUUUUUACGUCCGCCGCCUCUAGGAUUUCUAAUUGCUUGCACAACAAUUUCUAGGGGAGAGCCGACCACGAUCGCUCCGUUUGAUUGUAUCAGCCUGGCCAACAGGUCCUCAAAAGCCGGUACAAUGUUUUCACCGUGAUCAUCGACAUUAAAAACGGCGUGCUUUUGCGCGUCCUCGCUGAUGAUCUCCAGUUGAACCCGAUCAUUACGGCUAAC